ACCCGUCAUCAUCAAUGGAAAGUUUUCCUGAGUGCAGACUUUGUCCCUGUAUUUCCAAGGUGCAGAUCUCCCCAGUGGUGCUGUUUUAUGAUGUGUUUUUAUCACUCCAUCUCUAAUGUCUUUCACCGUACGGGGAGAACAGAAAUGAAAAGAAAAACGCAGACACAGGAAAGGUGGCAAUUUAGGGACUGUGCAUCUGUGUGACAGGCAUCCUUAGGGAGAAGAAAGAAAAACAUUUAGGAAGUUCUGUACAACCACUGCUCGACUACAAGACCACCCCACUGCAGGUCUUUACACGGAGAGGAGAGAUUUUAAAUUUGUAUGAGGAAGUCAUAAUGUUGAUACCAAUGGACACCCUUAAGAAAAGCCUACCAGUGUCAGAUUACUUCAAGCUACAUGCAUUAAGGUUUCUUGCUCCUGCUCCAGCCUUGAGGAGAGGUCAGUGACCACCCUGUGUCUGGAGGGGCAGUUGGUCAGACAGUAUGAACCCCGUAAUGCAGGGCUGACUGAUCAAAACCUGAAUAAGCCACUCUUACCCCAUACUGAGGCUCCCAGAUGAGAGAAGGCAGAGCCACAAGAGCAAGCUUUGCAGAAGACAGCUCAGUUUUGCCAGCAGCAGCCCAGCACACAGACAGCUCUGGUCUUGGCCGAAUCCUGCUCUGCUUCCCUGCAGUGCAUGGAGGUCUCCUGGCUGUAGUCCCCAGUGCUCCUGGGGGCUGCUUCUGCUCCUCACAGCACUACCACGGGUAUCCCUACAAGCCUGGCACAGUUAAUCUGCCACCUGAUUCAUUGCCUUGUGGAUACUCAAGAGCUGAGUGUAAUAUAAUGCCAUCUUUAUAAAAAAGGAUUUUCUCACUUUUUCCCUUUUUAUAGUAUGAGAGUGACAUAUUUGUUCCAUUUCUCUUAGGUAAAGGAGUCUUAGCCUGCUGCACUCAACUUUCUAAUU